UACGGGGGGGGGUAAGCGUUGUUCGGAAUUACUGGGCGUAAAGGGCUCGUAGGCGGCCAACUAAGUCAGACGUGAAAUCCCUCGGCUUAACCGGGGAACUGCGUCUGAUACUGGAUGGCUUGAAUCCGGGAGAGGGAUGCAGAAUUCCAGGUGUAGCGGUGAAAUGCGUAGAUAUUGGGAGGAACACCGGUGGCGAAGGCGGCCCCCUGGACCGGUACUGACGCUGAGGCGCGAAACGUGGGUAGCAAACGGG
rnacentral:rRNA from 1 species